AUGAGGAGGCAGCACGGCGGCGCGGAUGGAAGCCCGAGAGUCAGCCCCAAAAAUGUCUUGGGAGGGGGCACACAGGAAGUGUGGCGAAGCCAGGUAGCAGACCUGCGCCAACUUCCUGUGCUUACCGGAGGGCGAGAGAGACCGGGCAGGCACCGUGUUAUGCUGUGGAGCGCACGGUGUCCCCAGUGCGGGUGCAUAGCCCGGAGCGGUACAUAUAGGUCUCCAGUGUGUCUCCUUGGGCCGGCGUACAUGGCACCAGCCUUACGCAUGGUGUCCCCGGUUCGCCUGCACAGUCCAGUGCGGGCUAUUCCACCUCGCCGCACUGGCAGGGCGACCGGGAGCAUUCAACCAGGUAAGGUUGGGCAGGCUCGAUGCUUAAGAGCUCCAGUGCGCCUGCAAGGUCCGGUCUAUCCAGUGCCACCUCCACGCACCAGCCCUCCGGUGGCAGCCCCCCGCACCAGGUUUCCUGUGCGUGUCCAGAGCCCAGGACUCCCUGUUCCUCCUCCCCGCACUCGCCCUGAGGUGCAUGUCCUCGGCCCAGUACCACCAGUGCCGGCACCACGCACCAGGCCUACAGUGCGCCUCGCCUGUCCAGAGCUGCGAGAGUCUCCCGCCUGUCCAGAGCUGCUAGAGUCUCCCGCCUGUCCAGAGCUGCUAGAGUCUCCCGCCUGUCCAGAGCUGCUAGAGUCUCCCGCCUGUCCAGAGCUGCUAGAGUCUCCCGCCUGUCCAGAGCUGCUAGAGUCUCCUGCCUGUCCAGAGCUGCUAGAGUCUCCCGCCUGUCCAGAGCUGCUAGAGUCUCCCGCCUGUCCAGAGCUGCUAGAGUCUCCCGCCUGUCCAGAGCUGCUAGAGUCUUCCGCCUAUCCAGAGCAGCCAGUCCGCAAGGAGCCGCCAGAGCCGCCAGUCCGCAAGGAGCUGCCAGAGCCGCCAGUCUGCAAGGAGCCGCCAGAGCCGCCAGUCUGCAAGGAGCCGCCAGAGCCGCCAGUCUGCAAGGAGCCGCCAGAGCCGCCAGUCUGCAAGGAGCCGCCAGAGCCGCCAAUCUGCAAGGAGCCGCCACAGCCGCCAGUCUGCAAGGAGCCGCCAGAGCCGCCAGUCUGCAAGGAGCCGCCAGUCUGCCAGGAUCCGCCAGAGCCGCCGUUCAGCCAGGAUCCGCCAGAGCCGCCGUUCAGCCAGGAUCUGCCAGAGCCGCCAGUCAGCCAGGAGCCGCCAGAGCCGCAAGUCAGCCAGGAGCCGCCAGAGCCGUCAGUCAGCCAGAAGACGCCAGAGCCGUCAACCAGCCUGAGCUAUCUCUCAGUCCUGAGCUACCCCUCAGUCCUGAGCUACCCCUCAGUCCUGAGCUACCUCAGUCCGGAGUUGUCCCUCAGUCCAGUG
rnacentral:lncRNA from 1 species